GGAGUCGGCCGGACAGUCGCGUCGCCGAAAGGCGCCGAGGAAAGUCCGGGCUCCGCAGGGCAAGGUGCCAGGUAACGCCUGGGCGGCGUGAGCCGACGGAAAGUGCAACAGAGAAUAGACAGCCGAUGGCCCCGCAAGGGGAUCAGGUGAUGGUGAAACGGUGCGGUAAGAGCGCACCGCGUGCGGGGACAACGCCGCACGGCACGGCAAACCCCACCUGGAGCAAGACCGAAUAGGGGAGCUAUGGCGCGGCCCGCGUCGCUCCCGGGUUGGUUGCUGGAGCCUGCCGGUGACGGCAGGCCGAGAGGAAUGACUGUCACCCCGCAAGGGGUACAGGACCCGGCUUACAGGCCGACUCCCCCA
rnacentral:RNase_P_RNA from 1 species